rnacentral:rRNA from 1 species
GAGUUUGAUCCUGGCUCAGAUUGAACGCUGGCGGCAGGCCUAACACAUGCAAGUCGAACGGUAACGGGAAGAAGCUUGCUUCUUUGCUGACGAGUGGCGGACGGGUGAGUAAUGUCUGGGAAACUGCCUGAUGGAGGGGGAUAACUACUGGAAACGGUAGCUAAUACCGCAUAACGUCGCAAGACCAAAGAGGGGGACCUUCGGGCCUCUUGCCAUCGGAUGUGCCCAGAUGGGAUUAGCUUGUUGGUGGGGUAACGGCUAACCAAGGCGACGAUCCCUAGCUGGUCUGAGAGGAUGACCAGCCACACUGGAACUGAGAUACGGUCCAGACUCCUACGGGAGGCAGCAGUGGGGAAUAUUGCACAAUGGGCGCAAGCCUGAUGCAGCCAUGCCGCGUGUAUGAAGAAGGCCUUCGGGUUGUAAAGUACUUUCAGCGGGGAGGAAGGGAGUAAAGUUAAUACCUUUGCUCAUUGACGUUACCCGCAGAAGAAGCACCGGCUAACUCCGUGCCAGCAGCCGCGGUAAUACG